AAGUACUCUCACUGUUCUUUCUGAUUUUGUAAUAAUCCAGACAAGCUAAACAUUCACAGUAUUAAGACCAUGCAUGUGCCUCUAGACCUAGCUCUUUUGCUAGGUCUGGUUUUAUAAAUGCUGGUGAUAAAC
rnacentral:snoRNA from 1 species